UGGCAGCCCUGUUCCUCGCACAUGUUGUUUAUGUUCCAAUUUUUCAUUUAAUACUUUUAACUGCGUCGCGAGAACCCAAAAUAAAUGCUUACAAGAUGAAGGUGAAGAUGAUUAGUCGCAAUCCGGACAAUUAUGUCCGGGAAACCAAAGAGCAACAGCACAAAAUGCCCCGAAACUACGAUCCCUCGCUGCAUCCCUUGGAGGGUCCCCGGGAGUAUGUGCGGGCUCUGAAUGCCACCAAGUUGGACCGAGUGUUUGCCAAGCCCUUUGUAGCCAACUUAAGUGGCCACCGCGAUGGUGUGGCUUGCUUUGGCAAGCAUCCAAAGCAACUCUCUAGCCUGGCCACCGGCGCUUACGAUGGCGAAGUGCGCAUCUGGGACCUGGCCAAUCGCACCAGCAUCCGCCACUUUGUGGCCCACGAUGGCUUUGUCCGGGGCAUUACCUACACCCGCAAUGGGGAACAGAUCUUCACUGUGGGCGAUGACAAGACCAUCAAGGUUUGGAAGGCUCAGGCACCAGAAAUUGGCGAUGAGGAGGAGCCGGUGAACACCAUACUCAGUAGAUACGGCCUUCACGGCAUCUCUCAUAAUAGAAAGGAAAAUAAGUUUGCUACCUGCGGCGAGGUAUGUGCCAUUUGGGAUGAGGAGCACAAUGAUCCUUUGAAGACCCUCAAAUGGGGCGUGGACACGCUGCAUACUAUCUCCUACAAUCCCGUGGAAACGGAUAUACUGGCCUGCUGUGCCAGCGAUCGAAGCAUUAUUCUGUACGACCAGCGUGAGGCCCAGCCCCUGCGCAAGGUGGUGCUGACCAUGAAGAGCAACAAGUUGGCCUGGAAUCCCAUGGAGGCAUUCAACUUUACAGUGGCUAAUGAGGAUUGCAACUUGUACACCUUUGACACCCGCAAACUCCAGACUCCUUUGAAGGUUCACUUUGAUCAUGUUUCCGCCGUCACCGAUGUGGACUACUCGCCCACGGGCAAGGAAUUCGUCUCUGCCAGCUAUGACAAGACUGUCCGCAUUUACAAUGCCCAUCACAGCCACUCUAGGGAUAUUUACCACACCAAACGCAUGCAGCAUGUGGUCUGUGUGGCAUGGUCCCUGGACAAUCGAUAUGUCUUCUCCGGCUCUGAUGAGAUGAACGUGCGCAUGUGGAAGGCAAAGGCCUCUGAAAAGCUGGGCGUGAUACGUCCACGUGAACGUGUCAAUUUCAAUUACCAGGAGGCUCUCAAGCACAAGUAUGCUGCACAUCCGCAGAUCAAGCGCAUUGCUAGGCAUCGGCAGGUGCCGCGACAUGUGCUCAAUGCCCAGAAGAAGAUGCGUACGGUCAAGGAGAAGGAGCAGGUCAAGGAGGCCAAUGUGCGCAAUCACUCCAAAAAGGGCAAGGUGCCGUAUGUCAGUGAAAAGAAGAAGCAUGUCCUCAAGGAAGAGGUCUAAAAAGGACAGGAGCACUGUAGUUUUUAUAAGUUUUGAAUAAUAAAAAUAUUGAUUUUUCUGCAAUUUCACCUAGACACAGUUUUAUUGCAUUUACCUAAAGGAAGAUAAUAAAUAAGUUAUCUUUAUUCAUAAUUUAUGGUAGGAUUAAAGUGAAUUAUUAAGUAUUAUAUUGCUAGAUUACAGUAAAUAUUAUUAUUAUUAAUAUUUAGGAA